CUGUGUAGCAACAGGUUCUCGCCUUCUGGUGAGGAUGCGCGAUGCACUCGUUGAGUGUUGUGCGCCUCAGAUGUUCCGGGCCAGGUCGCCAGUGCAUUCCGUCGGGACGGUCACCACGACCGGCACUAUCGUCUGUCUUUUGUGGUUAAACCGUGCGUGCUUGGUCCUUGUGGCUUUGUGCGUGCGGGACGGCAGGUAGCUCGUUGGUUUGUUCGCAGGCCUUCGGGUGAAAUAGCUGACUACAAUUUGACUGUGCGGUUUGUCGGGGACGGCGGCUUGAGGUGUGUGCGUGUGUGCUAGUUUGCUGGCGUAUCCGUGUCUGGUUGCUCAGUUGCUCACCUAGUGGGCCAGGCGGCGACUGGGAUGCGUUCAGUGGGCGGUCGCGCACGUGACACCGUUUGAGGGCCAAUAGUCUGUGGUGUUGCGGUAGACGAUCCAUCCGACCCGUCUUGAAACACGGACCAAGGAGAAUAACAUGUGCGCGAGUCAUUGGGCGUUACGAAACCCAAAGGCGUAGUGAAAGUGAAGGUUUGACUUGUUCAGACUGAGGUUAGGUCGACCCGCUGAAUUUAAGCAUAUCCCUAAGCAGAGGAAAAGAAACUAACGAGGAUUCCCGUCCCAUGACUUUGGCUUUUGAUUCAUUGAUCGUACAGUCGGGGCGGAGCAAGAGCACACACGUUGUGACCCGAAAGAUGGUGAACUAUGCUUGUGAAGGUUGAAGCCAGAGGAAACUCUGGUGGAGGAUCGCAGCGAUUCUGAAGUGCAAAUCGAUCGUCAGACAUGAGUAUAGGGCGAAAGACUAAUCGAACCAUCUGGUAGCUGAUUCCCUCCGAAGUUUCCCUCAGGAUAGCAAAGUGGGUGGUAGACUCCAUCCAAGGCUAAAUACAACACGAGUCCGAUAGCGAACAAGUACCGUGAGGGAAAGUUGAAAAGUACUCUGAAGAGAGAGUAAACAGUGCGUGAAGCCGUUCAGAGGUAAACGGAUGGAGUUGAACUGUGAGUUCCGACGGUUCAGCUGGUGACUUUGGUUGAGCUUGGUCAAGUUGGUUGGGCUCUGGGGUCUGUGUAGCAACAGGUUCUCGCCUUCUGGUGAGGAUGCGCGAUGCACUCGUUGAGUGUUGUGCGCCUC
rnacentral:rRNA from 1 species